rnacentral:lncRNA from 1 species
UUUUAUGUUAUUUCCUCAUAGACAGAUAAAAUAAAACAGUCAUUUCUUAAAUAAAUCAAUUAUGUACUUGUAUUAAUGCUUUUCGUGGAGAUAAAUCUUUCUGCUUGAUGGAUUUUAGGCAUUACAAUUCUAAAUAAAAGACAGUGUACUAAUUCAAUUGCAUUCUAUGAUGGCUAAAGUUCAUAAUAGAGGGACAAAAGAUACCAGAGGG